rnacentral:lncRNA from 1 species
UAAGCGCUUGUGCCAUAAUGUUGCAGAAUUUUCUUUAUUUAAUUUGCGUUUAGUACCACGUGAAUCCACAUGCAAGGUCUCAUUAUAUGAUGUAAUAAUAUCAAGCAAAUACAGGUUAUCAUAUGCAGAUAAUGAACCAGUACCAAUAAUAUUGGAAUUUAAAGAAAGACUAAACUGAUUGUUUCCAAAUGAACAACAAUAACCUAAUUUGUCCAACGAAGAA